AAUCAUCAAAAAUCUUUCCUUGUUUUUACAAGGAAGGGUUUUUGGACUUGGAGGUCUAAUGCUUGCCUUUCACUUUGGAAGGUGAGCUCCUCUCAAAUGAAUUAGUGAGGUCUGCUUUGCUGGUCCUUGACGUGAUAAGAUGUUUCUACGUUUUGGAUUUGGCACCGUCUCUCGCUUCCAACUGUCCUGCUUGGACAAAAGAUGGUGCUUUGGUCCUCACUCGUCUAUGUUGGCGGGGGGAGGGCUGGACCCACAAAAGAAAA
rnacentral:misc_RNA from 1 species